CAAGUCGAACGGUAACAGAAGCUAGCUUGCUAGCUUGCUGACGAGUGGCGGACGGGUGAGUAACGCAUAGGAAUCUGCCCAGUAGCGGGGGACAACACGGAGAAAUCCGUGCUAAUACCGCAUACGACCUACGGGUGAAAACGGGGGAUCUUCGGACCUCGUGCUAUUGGAUGAGCCUAUGUCAGAUUAGCUUGUUGGUAGGGUAAUGGCCUACCAAGGCAACGAUCUGUAGCUGGUCUGAGAGGAUGAUCAGCCACACUGGAACUGAGACACGGUCCAGACUCCUACGGGAGGCAGCAGUGGGGAAUAUUGCACAAUGGGCGCAAGCCUGAUGCAGCAAUGCCGCGUGUGUGAAGAAGGCCUGCGGGUUGUAAAGCACUUUUAUCGGGAAAGAAAAAAUCAAGACUAAUACUCUUGAUCUUGACGGUACCCGUUGAAUAAGCACCGGCUAACUCCGUG
rnacentral:rRNA from 1 species